CAUUAUGCCUAGCCAUAAACUUUGAUAGAAUCUUACAACCUCUAUCCGCCUGGGAACUACGAGCGCUAGCUUAAAACCCAAAGGACUUGGCGGUGCUUCAGACCCCCCUAGAGGAGCCUGUCCUAGAACCGAUGAUCCCCGUUCAACCUCACCACUUCUUGUUUCUUCCGCCUAUAUACCGCCGUCGCCAGCCUACCCUCUAAGGGACCCAAAGUAGGCAAAAUAAGAACUUCUUAAAACGUCAGGUCGAGGUGUAGCGAAUGAAGUGGGAAGAGAUGGGCUACAUUCUCUACCGACCAGAGAACCACGAAAGAGAUUUUGAAACAAACCCCUGAAGGCGGAUUUAGCAGUAAGCACGAAAACAGCGAGUUCAGCUGAAACCGGCUCUGAAGCGCGUACACACCGCCCGUCACUCUCCCCGAAUACCCUAUUCGCCCUACCUAAAAAAUUUUAACUUCAAGGGGAGGCAAGUCGUAA
rnacentral:rRNA from 1 species